AGUGAACGCUGGCGGUAGGCCUAACACAUGCAAGUCGAACGGCAGCACAGUAAGAGCUUGCUCUUACGGGUGGCGAGUGGCGGACGGGUGAGGAAUACAUCGGAAUCUACUUUUUCGGGGGGGAUAACGUAGGGAAACUUACGCUAAUACCGCAUACGACCUACGGGUGAAAGCAGGGGAUCUUCGGACCUUGCGCGAAUGAAUGAGCCGAUGUCGGAUUAGCUAGUUGGCGGGGUAAAGGCCCACCAAGGCGACGGUCCGUAGCUGGUCUGAGAGGAUGAUCGGCCACACUGGAACUGAGCCCCGGUCCAGACUCCUCCGGGAGGCAGCAGUGGGGAAUAUUGGACAAUGGGCGCAAGCCUGAUCCAGCCAUACCGCGUGGGUGAAGAAGGCCUUCGGGUUGUAAAGCCCUUUUGUUGGGAAAGAAAAGCAGCAGGUUAAUACCCCGCUGUUCUGACGGUACCCAAAGAAUAAGCACCGGCUAACUUCGUG
rnacentral:rRNA from 1 species